rnacentral:rRNA from 1 species
UGGGGAAUAUUGCACAAUGGGCGCAAGCCUGAUGCAGCCAUGCCGCGUGUGUGAAGAAGGCCUUCGGGUUGUAAAGCACUUUCAGCGGGGAGGAAGGCGGUGAGGUUAAUAACCUCAUCGAUUGACGUUACCCGCAGAGGAAGCACCGGCUAACUCCGUGCCAGCAGCCGCGGUAAUACGGAGGGUGCAAGCGUUAAUCGGAAUUACUGGGCGUAAAGCGCACGCAGGCGGUCUGUCAAGUCGGAUGUGAAAUCCCCGGGCUCAACCUGGGAACUGCAUUCGAAACUGGCAGGCUAGAGUCUUGUAGAGGGGGGUAGAAUUCCAGGUGUAGCGGUGAAAUGCGUAGAGAUCUGGAGGAAUACCGGUGGCGAAGGCGGCCCCCUGGACAAAGACUGACGCUCAGGUGCGAAAGCGUGGGGAGCAAACAGG